rnacentral:lncRNA from 1 species
UAUAUAGAGGCUGCUAUGCUAUCGGAAGCACGGAGUCUUCCGUGCUUCCAGUCCGUUUUCGAUGUUGCGACUUUCAAAUCGCCGAUCGGCUCCUUUAAAUUUGAUCUAGAGUAUUUGAAGUACCUAGAAAAUAAAUCUUAUGAUUUUACGAUAUCUUUUGCCUAGUGAACGAAGGGGCUCAAAAUCAACGGUUGAAAAUAAAAAUCUUACAAAAUGUAAUAAUAUGACAUUAAAAUUUUAAAUCAAAGAUAUUG